rnacentral:lncRNA from 1 species
GCAGCUGAGUCCUCAACACAUCCAGAGCUGGUACAGCCUUCAGAGUUGUCCCUAGUUGAGGGAAGAAGAACCAGCUAUUUACGUCCCUCCAUCCGCAGUCUUAGUGGGGGACCAUCUUAUGAAGGGGUAAUCUUAGACAUGACAUCUUCUAUGGCUUAGAGCAGGGGUCUUGUGGGCCUCACUGUCUCUGUCACAACUACUUCAAUCUGCUGAUGUAGAGCAAAAGCAGCCAUAGACAAUAUGUAAACAAAGGGCAUAGCUGCGUUCCAAUGAAACUUUAUGCGCUAAAACAGGUAGCCAACUCGUGGGCCAUAGUCUGCUAACCCAAGGCCUAGAGUUAUUCUCACUGAGAGGCACAGCUCUGAGACAUCAGCAGUUGAUAUUCCCGGAAGCUGGGGGAUGAGUUCUUAACCCUCAAUUGCAGGUUUGGGCAGAGCACCAUAGGUGCGCUGCAGUUCCCGCCUCGCACGUUUCGGAUCUACAUGCUUCUUAUGGUAGAGUGAUUUAUCCGACUAGGAAUAGGAGAGGAAAAGGACACCGUAGACCACCCCCUUGCUCUCUCCAUUCUCUUGUGAAUAAGCUGCCUGAAGGGAACAUAUGUCCUUUUCAGUGCUGUAUGUGAGAAUUCAGCACUCUCUCUGCCUGCGUAGGAGAUUAUUGCUGAGAAAGCUGAAAUUUUCAACAGAAAUUCCGGGAAGCCAGAAGUCUCUGGGAUGCUGAGUUCCCCAGGCAAUCAGGCACAUUGAAUCCAAAGUCCCUCCGAGGACACAGGAUACCUGGAGUUUUUUUCCUUUGGUACAACAUGGAAGGAAGAGGCAGCCACAAUAAAAAGGCUGACAAGCGAAACCGGGAGCCUUGUGCUCUGCAGAAGGUACCCACGCAAGCCUUCACCUCAUCUGCAUUUGUGAGUGAUUUGGUGGUUGAAUUUCCCAACAGUAAAGUUGCACCUAAAAUUGAUCAACUUCAGUGUCAUCAACAGAUGUCCCUAAAACCGUUAGCAACUAAUGGAUUGUUUAAAGGACGUUAAUAGCUCAUUUGUCUAGUCAAAACACCAUCAACUCAACCUUUGAAAAACGUACUUUCCUGUCAUUAGAAAAUUGAGCCCAUUGUCCUUUAAUUUUGAAAUGACAUGUAUUUCAAGUCAAUUAAGGCAGAAAGACCAAUUA